rnacentral:tRNA from 1 species
AAGAUGUUAGUAAAAAUAUUACAAGGCCUUGUCAGGGCCUGAUUACUAGUUUAAAUCUUGUACACCUUC